rnacentral:rRNA from 1 species
UAAAACGUAAGGGGCGAGCGUUAUCCGGAAUCACUGGGCGUAAAGGGUGUGUAGGCGGUCUAAUAAGUCACGUCUGAAAUCCAUCGGCUCAACUGAUGGGGGAGGCGUGAAACUGUUAGACUUGAGGCCAACAGAGGGAGAUGGAAUUGCCGGUGUAGAGGUGAAAUUCGUUGAUAUCGGCAAGAACGCCAGUGGUGAAAACGGUCUCCUGGGUUGGUACUGACGCUGAGGCACGAAAGCUAAGGGAGCAAACGGGAUUAGAUACCCCGGUAGUCUUAGCCAUAAACGAUGCUCACUAAGUGUAGGGGUUGUAGAACCUCUGCGCUGAAGCUAACGCGAUAGGUGAGCCGCCUGGGGAGUACGACCGCAAGGUUG